GCCGCCGCCGCCGCGCAGGCCAAACCCACCGGCGCGCCCGGACCAGAGUGGCAGGGAACGAGCACGUCGGGCACCCGGGGAGGGAGGGCGAGGCGGGGGAAGGGGGAGGGCAGAGGCCCGGAAAGCUCCGCAGACAGCCGCCGGCUGCGACUGGCAGGCCCGGGAGCGAGCUUGGUGCUGCAGCCGCAGCCGGGGGCGGCCAGAAUGAUGGUGAUAUGUGACAUUUAUAGCUGAUUUAUCAGAUCUCAGAACUAUGAAUUGUAUGAUUUCUUAGUCAACCAGCACCAAUCAUGUGGACCACAGUGAGUUCCAGGACGUCUAAAAGAAGCAGUUGGAAGUCAAGAUGGCUAUGAUUCUUCAUCAUUGUUGUCUCCAAGGAAAGAUCCUAAAGCAAAGUGGUGAAAAGCACCAAAUGCC